CUUUGCCCCAUUGAGUUACCACCGUAUAAUAAUGCUUCUAACGGUGAAUUCUCACUUGUUCCCUCUUCUGACACUUGUAGUAUUCAGGAUCCUAGUACCUUCUAUUGCCUGUGUUUCUAUAUUUGGUCAAUGAACUAUGCUAUAUCUAGUAUCUCACUGUACUUUAACUAUGAGAACUACUGUUCCAUUAAUCAUUUGUACUUCCUGCUUUGCACCAGAAGAAUGCAAGUGCAUGAAAACUACCAUUCUAUGGUAGUAGGGAUGGAGACAAUUUUGCAAGGCAUCUCAGACCUUUCUGCUCUCUUAACAUCAUGCAAACAUAGGCAGUCCUUAGUCUGGAUUACUCACUUGACCAGUCUUAUUGAUCCUGGGCUCUAUUUUCCAUGUGGCAGCAACACAUGUAAGAGCUUACCUUGCCAAUGUGGGGGGCAGAUGCUCAAUAGGUAUGCAAAUCCAGAGAAGCAGCUUUCUUUAUAUCCUUUGUUUGCAGAGACCUGCAUGGUGCCUGGGCAUGGAUAUGAGGAGGAUUUAACAUCGGCAGUAAGAUGAGACACAGUAAAGGGAAUCCUCAACAUGUCUUUCUUUCCCUCUGUCCUUGUUAUCAACCAUAGGAUAAGUGCAAGCACUGAUGUUUGACAGCAACUGGGAAUAGUUUCUCUCAUAUGGACUUUUGCUUGUCUAACAGGAAAUAGAGAUGAUUUGGUGUUGAGGAAAACAGGUAUGUAUAUAUGUGCGUGCUUACUUCCCCAUCCCUCACUUCUGUACUGCCCUUGCUUUGAGUUUUGCUCCAUGCCACAGGUGGGCCUCUUGUCCUUUGUUUCAG
ensembl:lncRNA